GUUUUCAGGCGGCCUCCUGAGAAAUGUUUGCAAUUGUAAGGCGUCUCUCUCAUCCAGGUUUACCCAGAUUCGCAAACUAUGGCGACAAACAACCAUAGCAGAAGCAUGUCCGGAUUAUUUCACAUAUAUCACAAAAUCCUGCAAAGGGUCUGUCCCCAUUGGAUCACCUCCCAUCACGCCACACACGACGUGAAUGACUUCGUGCUUCUCCAUACCUGCAUUGAUCUCUGGGUCCAUUGCCAGUUAUAAACCUCCAAGGGCAAUAGCCAUGAGGUGAUGUACAGUCAAGCAUCACUUAAUAACCAGGAUACAUUCUGAGAAAUUUGUCGUUAGGCAAUUUUUUCAUUGCACGAACCUCACAGAGUGUACUUACACUAACCUAGAUAGUAGCAUCCAGUAAACACCUGGGCUAUAUGGUCUAGCCUAUUGCUCCUAGGCUACAAACCUGUAUAGCAUGUUACUGUACUGAAUAUGUAGGCACUUGUAACACAAUGGUAAGUGUUUUUGUAUCUAAACAUAUCUAAACAUAGGAGAGGUAAUGCAUUGUGCUACAGCAUUACAAUGGCUAUGACAGACACUAGGCAAU
rnacentral:lncRNA from 1 species